GUUCGGCAACAUAUUAAGGUAUUUAAAGUUUGCAGUUUUUCGCAAGUGAUUUACUCAUAAAUAUAGUGAUCAAAAUCAAAAACUUUUCUCGUGGUGCUAUUGUAUUUGUUUCGAUAUAAAAAAAAAAACAUAAAUAAAUAGAAGGGUGGGAGUAAGGAUGAUAUAAUCUUUCCAAUAUUAAAUAGUAGUAGGUACAUAGCGACAACCAAAUCAAACAGAAAAAAAAGGAAGCGCUGCGCUGUACAAGAAAAUUCAAUUACCCUCAUUCUGUACAAAAGGACGAUAAAUCUGAGGAAAUGUACAUGAGUUCUAUUUGAUACAAGGAGAGUCUUACUAUACUCUGACACAUGCAGUUUGGUAUCUAUGGGAUAUUCGGGGAAGGGCACCACAGAGCUCAAGCUCCAGCUAUACACAGCACCACCGACAAGCAUAUAGGGAAUCAGUAUCAGGCGUGUGCCUGGCCUUCCAUACAGUGCGAAUAACAUAUUGAAUUAUAGGUAUUCAAUAUUCGAAUCGAUCAAAAUUGAAUUGACCACAAGAUGAAGAGCAUAAACAAGAAAAGAAGAUGAAGAAGAAAUAACAACAACAGAAACAAUACCGACCCAAUAUCGAACCAAACAGAAAAAACCCAGAGUUUUAAGUUUUAAGAUGAUGACGACGACGAACGAAGAUGAUGAGGGACAUUCUGCUGCACCAGUGUACCACAAACGGCAGACGGGGACGACGAAGACUCAACGACGACGAUGGCACAAAGAUUAUAUAUUUCAUGCAACUUUACCUUCCGGACUAAACAUGCCAACCACAAUGUCACCUAAAUAAAUAAAACAACUUGGUCCUGUACAGUAAUCGGAAUAUCGGCUCAAGAAUUCGGAAGAUUUUAAAAACUAAAUGUCGAGCUAGACUGAAAGGAAAAUGCCUCAUGAAAAAUGGACGCUGUGAAGGUCUUGGAAGGCAGAAUGGUCUUCGGGCUUCCUAGAAUCGAAAGUCACUAUUAGAGAAGCGAGAAUUGAAAACGCCAACUUUUAAGGUAACUUGCCAAAAUGUCAUAGUACAGUAUUUUUGUAAAAACUUAGUUGGAUAAAAAAGUUAUAUUUUAACCCUCUGCCGGCACACGGGUGCGAAUUUGGCAGGACAAAAAUAAAAAAAAAUACGAUUUUUCAAAAAAGUGGUCAUAAAAAAGUCUCUUUAUAAGGGUGAAAAUAUUUUUUUUCGGAAUUGUGAAUACAAUAUUCGAAUUCCUCGGAAUAUUCUACAUCAAUUUCAUACUUGAUUCUCUAUAAAAUAUUGUGACCGAAAAAAGUUCUAGCGACAUGAAAAAGUAUAAACCAAAUUCUCACCCGUGUGCCUAUCACGUCACAAAAAAGAGGUGUGCCUACA